CAAUCCUACUUUCUUCCGUAUUAACCAAUUUCCAGCAACAAUACAAAAUAACAACAAUACAGUGACCCACCUACCGACCCCUAUUACUUUUCUUCUUCGCAAAAAUCAGAUACGAAACCCAGAAACUCACGUACUAGCCAAAUUAGCACGACCCAGUCUAGAAUCGAGCCUAGCUCGUGGCAGUCGCGUUCUCCCUCUCUCUCAUUAUCCUCUAGUACAAACAUACUCGAAUUGGGAAGGUGUCUCGAUCCUGUAGCUCGCUCAUCCUUGCUCAUAAUAGGAUUGCCAUGGUUCUCAAUCCGUUGAGAAUUGUUGAAGGGGUGGAAUCGUCUCUGUCAAACUCGUCCGUCCAGUUCGAUGUCAAGAAUCAGGUUAUGGAUGUUUAAAGGAUGUCUUUAAGGUGAAAAGCUCGUAUGUGAUUCCUAAGCUAAAGGAAAGGAAUCCUUAUGUUCCAAGGAUUUCCUAUGUCAAGUUUAUAUUCAAUGUAUUGUAAUAGAUUAAAUAUUAUAUUAUGAUGUUAAAGGGUCGUGUGCCUAAUCUAUUCUACGAUGUUGAGUCUAAGAUGGCCAAAGAGACUUAGAGUCUAAGUAUGUAUUAUGACUUAUAUUCUUGUAUAAUGGAAUUGAUGUUUCUAGCA